UCCAGAGCACUAUAUGUUUUUAUUGUAACAACUUUGGGGCCUGAAAUAUAUUCAUGCAGGUAUCCUUCGAAUUGAGUUUUUGGCGUUUGCAGGUAUGGCCGUAUGGGUCCUAAAGGAGGAAUUAGCAACUCUGAAAUUGACUCUGGUAAGCCUGAUUUGCUCUCUUGCUUGGCUGCUUUGCUUCUUUUGGGUCGGAAUUUCUGUGGCACCCCUUGUAUACUGUUGUUGUAGAUGGUUCUUAAACUUUCGGUCUGGUUUGUAUUGCUGGUGUGUUCAUAUAUAUGACCCUGUAACUGUAAAUGUGUUUGAAGGAGGAAUAAACAACUGUGAAAUUGACUCUUGGAGUCUCAUGAUGCUUUCGCAUUUACAUUAAGGUAUCUCCGGAUAAUAAAACUACGUAUCUUGUUAUUUGAUUGCAAAAGCAUAUGUAGGUUUAGUGUAUGAAAUUAACUGCUU
rnacentral:lncRNA from 1 species